GAUGGAAAAUAAUGUCUCCCAUUAUUUUCCACUAAAACCCUAACCUCCUUUCCACAAAACAUAUUUCUUUCUUCCUAACCUUCUUCGACCUGUUGCCGAACCUGCAACCUCAGCCGUCCCCACGACCAUAUUCUCUUUUCUUUUUCUUUUUCUUUUUGUUUCUCUUUUCUUUUUUUUUUCUCCGCGCGACCUCAAACCCAUUUUCUUCCGCCGUUCCUGACCAUAUUCUCCGCGCGACCAUCGUCCCUUCGUUCCUUCCGCCAUUCCCUUUCGUCAUCUUUGCGCGUCCUCAUACCCUCCAUUUUCGUCUUCAAGAUUUCGUCGUAACGACGUAAUUGGAAGCGUCUUCAAGAGUUUGCCGCCGUGAGAAAUUGUUUGUCCUCUUCAUCUUUUUUCUUCACCAGAUUCCACAGAUCCUCUCUCUACUGUUCGCCCUCUUCAUCUUUUUUCAGGAACUUAACAAAUCUAGAUCAGAGCUUCUAGGUAGAAUUCAGAGUUUAAAACAGGAUUUGCAAGGUAGGAGAUCCAAGUUAGACACAUAUGUGAAGAUCUAUCGGGAUGUAAGUCAUGAUUAUUAGUUUCAAUGAGCUAAAAUAUUGCAUUUGGUUUUCCAUUGAUGGCUUGGUCUCGGUAAACACCAUCUUUGAUUUUGUAGUGCGGUAAAUCUGAAUCGAAGAUUUUUAGUUUCACAUAUAAAUUUGUAACGCUUUCUCUUCUCUAUAGGGUGUUGUGGUUGCACUUCUGGUUUAUUUUGCAACAGAAUCAUAAAAGAUUUUACGUGAUAUACUAUAUUUUGUUCUAAUUGCUUAAAGAACCAACUCAUGUUUCGGUAGAAGGUGAUAUACUCGGAGGAAGUUAAAUGAAGGUGUAUUAUAAUCAAGAGCAUCAGACAUUGUAAUCGGGACAUAAAGACAGUGCCAACAUGAUGUUGAUAUUGAUGAUAAGGUUUGUGAUUACAACGUAAUGGUCCCAAUGAGAGCAAACACCUCACGGUACCAAUGUCGUCAACAAAAGAUAAGUGAUCCUUAUUGUUGUAACAAUUAUAGAAUUAUUUUCAUGCAUAUUGUGGUUGCUGUAUUUAAUUUCCUGCGUUUUAAGUUUUAAAUAUUAUAUGAUGCAAGUCACUUUGGUUAUUGUUUUGUUAAGCUCAAAAUUACAGACUAUGGCAAAAGGUUCGGUUACGAGAAUUGAAUUAGCAAGCACGUAAUGUUAUUAUGCAGGAAGUUGUUGUUAUAGAUCUCUUAGUUAAUUUGUAAAUAUCUAAGUUGGUCUUUGAAAUGGUAGUAUAAUUCUCUACUGAAGCAGAAUUUGAAGCAAUUUGUCUUAGCUCCAAAACACUUCUUCCCAACAUCAUUGCUAUCUUCAUUUCAAAUAUCUCUCCAUUUUCUCUAUUUUCCAAAUCAUUCUCUUCAAAUUUUCUUUCAACACUCUCUUCCAACAUCCUGAAAAAUCCACCACAGCUUCUGUAUAUUUCAAACACCAUACCAACUUGUCCACCAUGCUCUAAACCAUUUAUUGCACAAGCCAUUGACGAUGCCAUCAAAGGAACCAUGGCUGAAAAAAACUUGUCAUCAUUUCGAUUCUAUCAGAUACAACUUCUAAGAUAGCAUAUAGUUGAAUGGUGGAGCUGUUAGAGAUUGCAGAAUUGGACAAAUCAUUUUUUCAAUUCUCUAAAAAGAUUUGUGUUUCUGAGAAGAUAUAUAUGAAAGGAUAUAUCUAGUUUUUCAAUUUAUCCAUGUGAAUGAUGAAACCAUUCUGAUGCACUCAAAAAGUCAUGAUUUUCAGGUGUCUAUGUAUUAUAUGGAGCAUUUUUUGAAACAUGGGAGUGACAUCAUACGAUGCACAACAAUUGCUAGGAUUAACAAUUUGUGUCAUGGAGCUUCAUGUUGCACCCUCUGGCCACACCUGCGAGGCCUAUAAUUGUAAGUCGUAUCUCAGCAACAAUCAGGAGUGGGGGUAGCUUGAUUCCUGUUUGUAACAGCUCAUGCUUAGAUACAGGAUAGUGAUGCAUGUAUGGAGCCGAUAGUAAUCAAACUCGGAACAUAGUGAAUUUAAAGUGCUUCAGUCAGUCUUAACUGAGAACCUCGGCAUUCGCAUAUAAAUUCAGUUAAGUUUCCAUUUCAUUUACUUUAACUGCUUAUAAACUUCCGACAUCCGCAUAUAAAUUCAGACAAUUAGGGUGUAGUGACUCGAUGCUUGCAUACUGACAUUGAAUUUUUUGUCUAGUUUUAUUAUCUAAUUGGUUUAUUGGUGAGCAUUAGUUAAUGUAGUGUACUGCUAAAUCUGGACGCGAUCAAAAGUGCCAAUAUGCCAAAUGAAAUAGGCAAAGUUUAAUGGAAGGAUAUAAACUAGCAUCACCGACAAAUGCUGCUAAUCUCGUGGUAGGCCGCAGAACUUCAGGGUCAUGCAUGUGCUCGUUCGAAUUGGAAGGAAAAGUGGACCACGUUGCAUGAGUGCAAAUAAUGACAUGUUCUACAUCACAGAGUCCAUUGCUUUUAAUGAUAAGUUUCCACCUUUACAUAAAGAUGACAAGACCAAAAGUUUGUAGAAGUGAAAAGAAGAAGCCUGGAAGCAUUCUACUAGCAUCUUGGGUGAAUAUUAUGUGGUGGAAAGAGUUGGGAAUUAAAGACAAACUAACUCUUGCAAGAGUUAGAUCAACAAAGUGCUUAGGUUGGUAUUUUUCAAGUGUGGGAAAGGACUUAUAAACUGUUGGAUAUUUUUGUAUCGUUUCACUUGUUUUGUUAUUGUUGUAGUAGUCCACCGUGUGUAAACUUCCUUAGAAUUUUGUACACUUGUGUGAUUAAUACUUUUGUAAAUUAAUUGUUCAUUUUGAAGAAUAUAUAUGUGUAUCCUA